AUGGAUUUGAAGAAAUCCAAGUCUGCCUGGCCCGAGUGCCUCAAGACAAAUGCGAAUGUUUUAAAUGAGUUUUCCAUUUUUCAAUCAACUUGUGAUUAUUUGGUGGGAGAUUUUAUUCAAGUGAGAAGAGAGGCUGCAAAUAUUAUCCAAAGCUGUGAGGAAGGACGGGAGGUGUUGGGCCGUCUGGGGGGGGGUGGGGGGGUGGAGAGUGCAGCACACCUCUCUCUCUCUCUCUCUCGCUCUCUCUCGCUCUCGCUCUCACUCUCACCGCCCACAGCGCCUGCCUGUAAGUUACGGCCACUGCAGGACCGGCAAAGGCAUUGAUU
rnacentral:lncRNA from 1 species